rnacentral:rRNA from 1 species
UACAGAGGAUGCAAGCGUUAUCCGGAAUGACUGGGCGUAAAGCGCACGUAGGCGGUCUCUUAAGUCGGUGGUGAAAUCCUGGAGCUCAACUCCAGAACUGCCUUCGAUACUGAGAGUCUUGAGUCCGGGAGAGGUGAGUGGAACUGCGAGUGUAGAGGUGAAAUUCGUAGAUAUUCGCAAGAACACCAGUGGCGAAGGCGGCUCACUGGCCCGGUACUGACGCUGAGGUGCGAAAGCGUGGGGAGCAAACAGG